rnacentral:rRNA from 1 species
AUUGAACGCUGGCGGCAUGCCUUACACAUGCAAGUCGAACGGCAGCGCGGACUUCGGUCUGGCGGCGAGUGGCGAACGGGUGAGUAAUACAUCGGAACGUACCCUGUUGUGGGGGAUAACUAGUCGAAAGAUUAGCUAAUACCGCAUACGACCUGAGGGUGAAAGUGGGGGACCGCAAGGCCUCACGCAGCAGGAGCGGCCGAUGUCUGAUUAGCUAGUUGGUGGGGUAAAGGCCCACCAAGGCGACGAUCAGUAGCUGGUCUGAGAGGACGAUCAGCCACACUGGGACUGAGACACGGCCCAGACUCCGACGGGAGGCAGCAGUGGGGAAUUUUGGACAAUGGGGGCAACCCUGAUCCAGCAAUGCCGCGUGUGUGAAGAAGGCCUUCGGGUUGUAAAGCACUUUUGUCCGGAAAGAAAUCGCGCUGGUUAAUACCUGGCGUGGAUGACGGUACCGGAAGAAUAAGCACCGGCUAACUACGU